rnacentral:ncRNA from 2 species
CCCGCUGAGUUUAAGCAUAUCAAUAAGCAGAGGAAAAGAAACUAACAAGGAUUCCCUUAGUAAGGGCGAGCGAACCGGGAAGAGCCCAACUUGAAAAUCGAACGUGUUCGGCGUUCGAAUUGUAGUCUGGAGAAGCGUCCUCAGCGACGGACCGGGCCCAAGUUCCCUGGAAAGGGGCGCCAGAGAGGGUGAGAGCCCCGUCGUGCCCGGACCCUAUCGCACCACGAGGUGCUGUCUACGAGUCGGGUUGUUUGGGUACGCAGCCCCAAUCGGGCGGUAAAUUCUGUCCAAGGCUAAAUAUGGGCGAGAGACCCCACGAGGUAAAGAUGAAAAGGACUUUGAAAAGAGAGUCAAAGAGUGCUUGAAAUUGUCGGGAGGGAAGCGGAUGGGGGCUGGCGAUUCGUCCCGGUCGGAUGCAAAAUGGAGCAAUCCGGUCCGCCGUUCGAUUCGAGCCGUGGAACGAUGCGGAUUUAGGUGGUGACCUAAGCCCAGGCUUUUAUCAUGCCCGCGGAGACGUUGCUGCCUUAAUCGUGGUCUGCAGCACGCGCCUCAUGGCGUGCCUUGACAUCUGCAUGCUCAGGGCGUCGGCCAGUGGGCUCCCCAUUCGACCCGUCAACGG